UACGAAGGGGGCUAGCGUUGUUCGGAAUUAUUGGGCGUAAAGCGCACGUAGGCGGACAUUUAAGUUGGAGGUGAAAGCCUUGGGCUCAACCCAAGAAUUGCCUUUGAUACUGGAUGUCUCGAGACCGGGAGAGGUGAGUGGAAUUCCGAGUGUAGAGGUGAAAUUCGUAGAUAUUCGGAAGAACACCAGUGGCGAAGGCGGCUCACUGGCCCGGUUCUGACGCUGAGGUGCGAAAGCGUGGGGAGCAAACAGG
rnacentral:rRNA from 1 species